rnacentral:rRNA from 1 species
CCUACGGGAGGGCAGCAGUGAGGAAUAUUGGUCAAUGGACGAGAGUCUGAACCAGCCAAGUAGCGUGAAGGAUGACUGCCCUAUGGGUUGUAAACUUCUUUUAUAAAGGAAUAAAACGAGGCACGUGUGCCUUUUUGCAUGUACUUUAUGAAUAAGGAUCGGCUAACUCCGUGCCAGCAGCCGCGGUAAUACGGAGGAUCCGAGCGUUAUCCGGAUUUAGUGGGUUUAAAGGGAGCGUAGAUGGGUUGUUAAGUCAGUUGUGAAAGUUUGCGGCUCAACCGUAAAAUUGCAAUUGAUACUGGCAGUCUUGAGUACAGUUGAGGUAGGCGGAAUUCGUGGUGUAGCAGUGAAAUGCUUAGAUAUCACGAAGAACCCCGAUUGCGAAGGCAGCUUACUAAACUGUGACUGACAUUGAUGCUCGAAAGUGUGGGUAUCAAACAGGAUUAGAUACCCCUGUAGUC